ACUAGAUAUCUAGUGGCGGUAAGACGUUUGACCCGUUCCGCAUGCCGAACACGGAAGUUAAGCCUACAAACGCCGAAGGUACUUGGCUGGAAACGGCCUGGGAGAUUAGGAAGUUGCUGGUU
rfam:Sporomusa malonica strain DSM 5090 genome assembly, contig: Ga0070592_165